GCACGAGUCGAUGUAUGAGAUAUCGUCGAUAGUUGUUUACAGGAGGAAACACGAGGACCCUGUAAAAGCGAAAGGAUCGAUCGGUGUACUCUUUUUGAUCGCGGAUCGUGGAAAGUGCAAGAGCUCGGAAUUUUAAGUUGACCACCGACCUGCACGAUAUGAUGGACCGAGGAACUCGUAGAAGAAGAGAAGGAGGAGAAAAAAAGGAGGAGAAGAGAA